rnacentral:rRNA from 1 species
UACGUAGGGUGCAAGCGUUAUCCGGAAUUAUUGGGCGUAAAGAGCUCGUAGGCGGUUUGUCGCGUCUGCUGUGAAAACUGGAGGCUCAACCUCCAGCCUGCAGUGGGUACGGGCAAACUAGAGUGGCGGUAGGGGAGAUUGGAAUUCCUGGUGUAGCGGUGGAAUGCGUAGAGAUCCGGAAGAACACCGGUGGCGAAGGCGGCCCGCUGGGCAGUGACUGACGCUGAGGCGCGACAGCGUGGGGAGCAAACAGG